CUUGCUGGAGAUCCCUGCAUGCUUAAGACUUUCUGGAGAUUGUGAACGGGAGCCUUGUGUCUUCGGUUUUCCCAUCGCCUGCUUGAUCUGACAUGACUUCUGUGUGCAAGCUUAGCCUACCAGGAUGCGUUUCCCUCCUAUGAGACUGACAGGACACCGCAUCAUAUCCACACAAAUAGAGGGGUACCUACCUGCAGAUUCUUAGGCCAGGACAGAAACACUUCUGGCUGCUUUCCAGGCAGACCCUUCAGGUCUUCGGUGAUUUGUGGCUUGGGCUGAGAUAGAAAUGUUAUUUAUUUAUGGCCAUUUCUAUGCUGUUAGUUAAUAAAAUGAAGUUGAAGUAAUAAGGCUAUGAUGUCAAAAUUAGCAGCAGAAAAGAGCUGGGCAUUGGGAGCGAGAGAAAUUGGGAGGACUGAAGCAGAUGUUUUCAGAGGUGAGGAGAGGAUGGCAGAUGCGAGACCUACAUUUGUAUUGGUGGAAAGCCAGGGCACAAGAUGUUCCAUCUAUUCUGGCUUACACGUGACCCAAGUGGCAAUGAAGUGAAAUUCAUCCUCCAUGGCAGUAAAUCCCCCUGAAAACAAACAAUGGAAUGGCGCAAGUCUGAGGGUGGGGAAGAGAUUACAAAUAAAGCCAAAAUUGUCAGAUGUGAUUGAUGAAUCACUGAUGGAACACUGAUGUGUUUCUAGUGAAAUAAAUAUAUGUAUAUAUUUU
ensembl:lncRNA